CGUAUCGGACAGCGCGGGAGACCGCGUCAAACUCGCCUGUAAUCCCGGCAUCACCGCGCAAGUGGUGUGGCGACUUUUUCAACUGCUGCAACAGCAGCACCUCA
rnacentral:ncRNA from 1 species